GACGAACGCUGGCGGCGUGCUUAACACAUGCAAGUCGAACGGAAAGGCCCUGCUUUUGUGGGGUGCCCGAGUGGCGAACGGGUGAGUAACACGUGAGUAACCUGCCCUUGACUUUGGGAUAACUUCAGGAAACUGGGGCUAAUACCGGAUAGGAGCUCCUGCUGCAUGGUGGGGGUUGGAAAGUUUCGGCGGUUGGGGAUGGACUCGCGGCUUAUCAGCUUGUUGGUGGGGUAGUGGCUUACCAAGGCUUUGACGGGUAGCCGGCCUGAGAGGGUGACCGGCCACAUUGGGACUGAGAUACGGCCCAGACUCCUACGGGAGGCAGCAGUGGGGAAUAUUGCACAAUGGGCGGAAGCCUGAUGCAGCAACGCCGCGUGCGGGAUGACGGCCUUCGGGUUGUAAACCGCUUUCGCCUGUGACGAAGCGUGAGUGACGGUAAUGGGUAAAGAAGCACCGGCUAACUACGUGCCAGCAGCCGCGGUGAUACGUAGGGUGCGAGCGUUGUCCGGAUUUAUUGGGCGUAAAAAGGGCUCGUAGGUGGUUGAUCGCGUCGGAAGUGUAAUCUUGGCGCUUAACCCUGAGCGUGCUUUCGAUACGGGUUGACUUGAGGAAGGUAGGGGAGAAUGGAAUUCCUGGUGGAGCGGUGGAAUGCGCAGAUAUCAGGAGGAACACCAGUGGCGAAGGCGGUUCUCUGGGCCUUUCCUGACGCUGAGGAGCGAAAGCGUGGGGAGCGAACAGGCUUAGAUACCCUGGUAGUCCACGCUGUAAACGGUGGGUACUAGGUGUGGGGUCCAUUCCACGGGUUCCGUGCCGUAGCUAACGCUUUAAGUACCCCGCCUGGGGAGUACGGCCGCAAGGCUAAAACUCAAAGGAAUUGACGGGGCCCCGCACAAGCGGCGGAGCAUGCGGAUUAAUUCGAUGCAACGCGUAGAACCUUACCUGGGUUUGACAUGGAUCGGGAGUGCUCAGAGAUGGGUGUGCCUCUUUUGGGGUCGGUUCACAGGUGGUGCAUGGCUGUCGUCAGCUCGUGUCGUGAGAUGUUGGGUUAAGUCCCGCAACGAGCGCAACCCUUGUUCACUGUUGCCAGCACGUUAUGGUGGGGACUCAGUGGAGACCGCCGGGGUCAACUCGGAGGAAGGUGGGGAUGACGUCAAGUCAUCAUGCCCCUUAUGUCCAGGGCUUCACGCAUGCUACAAUGGCUGGUACAGAGAGUGGCGAGCCUGUGAGGGUGAGCGAAUCUCGGAAAGCCGGUCUCAGUUCGGAUUGGGGUCUGCAACUCGACCUCAUGAAGUCGGAGUCGCUAGUAAUCGCAGAUCAGCAACGCUGCGGUGAAUACGUUCCCGGGGCU
rnacentral:rRNA from 1 species